rnacentral:tRNA from 1 species
GCCUCUGUAGCUCAGCUGGAUAGAGCGCUUCCGUCCUAAGGAAGGCGUCGCACGUUCGAGUCGUGUCAGGGGUA